UAUGGAAAUAGUCGCCUCAUGUGGUGACGCAUGAGUGAUAACUUGGCUUUAUCGGUGAAGUCUACGUCAUGACGAAUACGUUAUGAUAAGGUGAUGCCGAGCGGUAUGUGGAGCAAUCCAACAGCCGUGUAUCGACUUAUAGGCUGCCUACAAGGUAGUACUAGGAUGGAGCAUUCUGCAAUAGAUUGCACAAAAUACAUGUUCCAUAAUACGCCAAGGGACUUGUUGAUCAAGUUCAAGAUAUAGUCAGUGCCAUUGCGAAAGCAUGGAAUUACAUG
rnacentral:autocatalytically_spliced_intron from 1 species